UACGAAGGGGGCUAGCGUUGCUCGGAAUUACUGGGCGUAAAGCGCACGUAGGCGGUCUUUUAAGUCGGGGGUGAAAUCCUGGAGCUCAACUCCAGAACUGCCUUCGAUACUGGAAGACUCGAGUCCGGGAGAGGUGAGUGGAACUGCGAGUGUAGAGGUGAAAUUCGUAGAUAUUCGCAAGAACACCAGUGGCGAAGGCGGCUCACUGGCCCGGUACUGACGCUGAGGUGCGAAAGCGUGGGGAGCAA
rnacentral:rRNA from 1 species